CCCCUGGGCUGUGUGGCAUAGCCUGUUGCUCCUUGGCUACAAACUGGAACAGGGUGAUACUGUACUCAAUACUGUAGGCAGAUGUAACACAAUGGUCUUCAGGGGCUAGAACGCCCAUGGAGCUGUCAUCUCCUGUGGUAACAGUGCCUUUUUCUAGAAUGCCUCCUAGAGGACCUGCCUGAGGGUGUUUACAGGUAUGAUAUUCUUCUCAACGGGAUCAGCUGUAUAAUUUGUGGACCCAGUGCAAAAUAUGAAUCUCAAGACAGCAACAGCAAAACAUUAAGCGCAGAGCCUUUGUAUGUAUGGAGCCCAGCGUGAAGUCGAUCCUGCCCCUCUAAAAGGCUGAACAGCGAGCGUGUUCAGGGCAGCAACCACCCUGAGAGCACAGCUGGAGCAGGUCCACGGGGUGGAGAGGAGCCUGCCUUCCUCUCCCUGUCUUAGUUUACGGGACUAGUUAACAUGCUCACAUGCACACAAACACAUAUGCACAAAUGCACAAACAUACACACCUGGACAGGUAGUUCAAAGAACCCUCUGACAGAAGUGUUCAGCAGAAUGAAAUCCAAUUUUUUAAAAUAUGAAAGCAUAUUUCCUUGUUUAUCUAAGUCAGGAAUGAAACUGUCAUCUUUUGAGUA